AGAUAGCCGAGUAAGCAUUUACUGGGUUUAGCAGACCGGAAGGCCCAAUUAUCGGCAACCAACGGCGUCCAAUCUCAACAGUGAUUCUCCCCCUCGUCGGCAGCUUAAUCCUCCCCCACCGUCGCCGCCUCUCCAUUCCUUCCCUCUCGCCAUCCAAUCCGCCUUCUCGUGCGAUCUUGUCGGCGAUUAGUAGCUGAAGGGUUCCUCGUGAUGAGGGAUGUGAAAGGAUCAUUGGAGCACAGCAUUGGACGGAGAGCGGAGCGGAGCCCUACAAGGUACGCCUCUUCCGCGCCCCAUCGCCGUCCGGAUCGGUUCGUCUUGUUCAUGCUUGAUAAGAACAAGCAUUCUUCAUAAUUGAACUUAGAUUUUCUAGCAACUAUGACAUAAAGAUGCAUGGUUUUUCUUUGAUGAUAUUUGAUAUUAAAUUCCGCAACAUAAUUCGAAUAGAAGAGUAUUGGAUU
rnacentral:lncRNA from 1 species